rnacentral:lncRNA from 1 species
CUUCUGAAUAGUCGGUUUAUCUUUUCGUGACAGUUUCGAUAUACCCACCGGUGUCUCUUCGAGCGCCGAAGGGACGCUAUAACGUACACGUUAGUGUUUGUUAUCAGGUUUAUAAUUUAUUAGAGGUCAGCCGAAGAGGCAGCGGUGGGUUGGUGAGGUGACGAUUCGUUUUGUUUAAAUAUCGGUUCUUCAGAUGCAUUCCCCAUUACGGAGACAGUGGUGUUCGUGAAAGAAGUGAAGACGACAACGGCAUUCCCGGUAAGAGAAAGCGCAGCGCUUCCCCUCCGCAGCAGCGCUUCCCCUCUUACGAGGACGGUCGUGCGUCGCCUUCGACUCGUUCACAAAUAUUGGCCUUGCUUUAACCUCCUCGCCUUUACGUAGAGAAGAUUCGCACUCUCUGGAGUGUUUUAUUUGCUAGGAGCCCAUUGGCCCUCCUCUCAUCUCAUACAGUUUCUUAAUUUCUUGCAGAUAUUUAUUUUUAUCGUUGGAUUCUAAUGUUUUUCUGUCUGUACUGUCUGUUUCAUGGUAGAGCGGAGCUCCAAAUUGCCCAAAGCAAAUGAAACAUUCCAGAUAGUGCGAAUCUAACGCCUCAUUGCUGGAUCGAUCGUACCCUUCCGAUCGAGCCUCCUCCUCCUCCUAGCAGUCUCCUUCGGCAGUCUCUUUUGGCCAAUACCUGUUUGCGUCGGCUAUUUGAUCAUGGAUUUGCAGAUAAACUUCGAUGAUUACAUAAUCAAUCUUAUGAAGAGAUUGUUAUAGUUGAUGUAAUAGAUGGUUGCAUUGUGAUAAAAUCGUNUGUUUGUAUUUUAUUAAGUACUAUAAAAUCGUGUAAUCGGCUUUACAGAUAAUGUAAUUCUUGUUCACAGAUUAAUGUACUCCUUACGAAUUUGUUAUACUAUUUACAAGUUACUCUUUUUUACCAAACAUUGUUGCACUGUUUACUUCAUUUUAUAAUAUUAAUUUCAGUUUUUUUGCACUUUUAUGUUCAUGUUUUCACCUAGCCUGGGAAACGUUAAUAAGGAAUUGCACUAUUAUGUUAUUAUUAUCAACUAGCUUGGGAAACGUUAAUAUGAAACUGCGGAAGCCAUAUUUAAACAAAACCAAAAUAUGUUUGAAUAGUUGCUUUUACUUUUCCCGUGGCAGCUUUGAUAUAACCGCCGGUGUCUCCUAUCCUCACAGAAGAGACGCUAUAAUGUAGACGUUACGCUACGUACUUUUAAAAGCAUUAAAUGCGCGCUGCGCUGGGAGCGUAUAUCCAUGCUAUUCGCCAAAACAUGUGUUUGCUGUUCCAUGAAUCCAUUAUACUAUUAUGGUGACAUAGUUGCACCCUUAUGAACUUUGUUCUACUAUUUUACCCUACGUUGCACUAUUAACCGCGUUGCAAACCGUUUCCUUUCGCCCCACCGGUGUCACGCCCCGGGACCGGCGGAGGCCCUCCCGGUAGCGUGCCCAGACCCGCCAUAUGUCUACACAUAUAAGGCGUCUACACUAAAAGCGGAAGUAAAAGCGAAAAAAAAGAACAGUAGAGUAAAUAGCAACUAAUGAUAUCAGAGCGAGUAAAUUUCUAUCAUCUACACCAAGGUAAAGAAAUAAGGCUAGACAACAAAAGAAACCAUAAGUAGAACACUAUCUGUCUCAAAAGUACAAAAAUGGUGGUCUCUAGUACACUGGUAAAACUCUCAACCUCUCGCAAAAAGAAAUACAUCGAGAGGUAGACCACCUAACAACUCGUCCCUCGCUGAAGAGCUAGCUGGAAGCAAUGCCCUUCCCUCGGUCCCUGGCCUCACCCGGCGUGGAAGGCUCUGAAAGAAAUCAUAAAACAGAGGGCGUGAGAACUAUAAUUUAUAGUUCCCAGUGGGCAAUUACUGACCUCAGCUCAUCGCACCACUAGGCCCCAAAAGAAAAGGAGUAAGUAUAAUAAACAACAAUAAGGAUAACAGUAACAACAGUAAGAAAGUAUAAUUGAAGUGCUAACCCAUAUGUCUCAAGUAAGCAUGAUGCCAUGGUGAUGUACAUCUACGCUAUCAUAAGAUAAUAUGUCCAAUGCAUACUAAUAUGUCUCAACAUAAUAAACAAGUAAACCUCACGAUGCAAUAUGUCAAUGCAUAAGGGUAAACACUAUCCAAACGACCGAGUAUACUACUAUGCAAUAAUGAAACCGGCAAGUAUACUAAAUGUACCAAUGCUAUAUCAUGAGCAUGUCCAAGCAAUCCAACUACUAAUCCUAUCUAGUAGUGAUUGUCCAUAUACAACACCGUGUCGAUUUCCAUUUCCAAUUUAAGGACCUACUCAAGGUAGUCCAGCUUGUGCCGCCUAAGUGUCUGUGGUAGCCCGACAUCCCUACUCUUGGAAUGUGUCUGUCCCACUCGACCCCGUAGGCUUCUCAAUACCGCACGAGCGAACGUAGUCGCGUAGGCUAACUCCGGAGUGCCGGCUUGUAGGGAGCGACCCUCACAAGCAUGUGCGAAUGAGCACAAAUGGCAAGCAAGCGUAGUCCAAGUCUCAAGUGUCGAAUCCUCAUGUCUCUAACAUGGUAUCAUAACUAGCAUACCGAAGAUCUAGUCUAAGUCACAAGAUGAAGUUCCAACAUUCAUUACGCCUAGUGCCCCUUGAUGACACUUAGACAAUCUAAUGUACAACACAUACCCAAUCCCUCAAUGGCUCUAACCACUAAGUUCACACAUGUCCCGAGCUCACUGCCGUUUGAUGACAUUAGCUCUCCAAUUCACAUACAUUCUAGUUCGAUAGCUCUAUAUGGCAAUUUUGUCAACUUUCAUGUCUCAAAUAAACUUACGUUUAAAUGCAUGAAUCCAAUCCCAUUUACACUAUAGGAGCAUGGAACCACGUCUCAUAUAGAAUGCUAGGAGCAAUUAUAGGCCUACAAAGCUACUCUCUACUACAUAGUGGUCCAAAAUUUCAUCAUAUAUAACAUAGGCCUUUUAAGCAUUCUAAAAUUCACAAUAAAUACAUAUAACAAGAAUAUGCAUGCUUUUUCAUUUAACAAUACUUAAUUAAGCACAAAUGAGAAUUUCUCAUUGUGUGGCUAGGUCAAACCCACCGAACCGUCGCGUGCUCCUUCGAUUCGCCGAACGGAGUUGUCCACGAGCAUCAAAAUACCCUAAAAGUGAUCAGCGAAUAGAUACGAGAGCAUUACGACCAACCAAGAGCUCAAAUAUUAACCUAGAAGCGAAAGGGCCAAAAUUCACCUCAAGAGGAGAAAUCUCUUCCAAAGCUCCAAAAGAGAGCUAGAACCCUUCCAAACCAAGCCCAAGGAAGGUUAUAAUCCAAUCAAUCUAGCCCCAAAAGCCCUAGAUCAAAAAGCCCCAAAAUCAACCCUAAAUUUCAUUUCUAGGGUUCCAUCUACUAAAAAUCCUCAAAUCAAGGUCUAGAGGAAGAAAAGAGCAACAAACCUCCUUAGAAGCUCCAAUCCAAGCUCCAAGGAUGAAGAUCUCCCCCCUUGCAAGCUCCAAGUCCAAGCCUUCAAGCACCAAGGAAGAUGAGAGGGUGGGGAAGAUGCUCCAAGUCCACAAGUAGCUCCAAACUUCUUCUCCUUCUCUCCUUCCUCUCCUUCUCCUUCUUCUUCUUCUUCUCUAUCAAGGGUGUAGAGAGGGUUGAGAGAAGAGAAAUGGGGAGAGGAGAGAGUGGAGGGGUCAUAUAGACCCUCUAUUGCUACAAAAUCCCAAGAGGCCCCUCAAAAAUCCAAUAUUGCAUUAGCCCGGUCUGGGCAAUUUUCGCCCAGAGGGACCGGUCUCUCCCCAGCAGGGACCGGUCUCUCGCUGCGAACCCGAAAAACCAACGUUCGGGAACCGGUCUCUCCCCACACAGGACCGGUUGCCUCAAGGCUGCCGCGACACUGCUCACUGGGGGACCGGUCUCUCCUUCCAGGGACCGGUCCCCGAGAUUAAAAACUCUCAGGACUAAACCAAAACUCAGGUUUUCGAACUUUUUAGGUCGGAAAACAUUCUACAACCCUCCACCAAGUGUGGAGAAGCUCGAAACACAUCCAAACACUCGAACCUCGCAAUUUGCAAAGGUCCAGUGUGUUGCAACCGGAGAGACACUAUAACGUACACGUUACUGUACAUACGCUUCCGCAAGCAUUAAAUGCGCCCCAGCGCAUUUAACGUAAUAUUCCACGCUAUUCGACACACCGAGUGUUUGCUGUUUGGAAUCUUCUCCGACGCCUCCGCUUUCUAAAAUUAUUGAACUAUUCUGUUGACCACAUUGCACCAUUACAAUCACCGUUGUAGUCUUUUAACCUACGUUGCACUAUUAAUCGUCGUGCGCGUCGCACAGUUAAUCCCUGUCGCAUUUUAAUGCUAGUGGCAGGCAUGAAGAGUGACGUGUACAUUAAUAUUCGGUUAAGUGAGGAGAAGAGGCACCGGCGGGUUUGUCAGCCGACGAUUCGUUUUGUUUAAAUAUCGGUUCUUCAUAUGCAUCUCCCUUUACAGAGACACAACCUUUGGUGAAGGAGGUGAAUCGACAACGGCGUUCCCUGCAAGAGGAAGCGCAGCGCCGAAGUACGAGAUGGAGCCUCCUCCUACUCCGCCGCGCCGCUUCCUCCUGCCGGGAACGUCGUUCGUCGCCUUCGCAUCCUUGACCAAUAGUUGCGUCGCCUUAACCUCGUCGCCUUUACGAAGAGAUGAGUCGCCGCAGGCGCCACAACGACUGGUACCAGGCUACAGUUCGUCCAUGACGUUUAGGCAACGAUGGUAGAUGGCCGAAGCAGAGUUCGAGGAGUAGGUGGCUCGCUCCGAAGGGAGCCGAAGCAGAGUUCGUGGAGUAGGCGGCUCGCUCCGAAGGAUACCAUCCAGCAAUGAGGCGUUAAGAUUGAUUCGCACUAUCUGGAGUGCUUUAUUUGCCACGAGCCCAUUGGCCCUCCCCUCAUACAGGUUCUUAAGUUCUUACAGAUCUUUAUUGUUAUUGAUGGAUUCUUAUGUUAUGCUGAUUGAACUAUCUGUUUCAUGGUAGGGCGGAGCUCCAAAGGGCUUGAGGCAAAUAAAGCACUCCAGAUAGUGCAAAUCAAUCUUAACGCCUCGUUGCUGGAUCUACCCUUUCGAACGACCUUCCUCCUAGUCGCAGUCUCCUUCGGCAGUCUCCUUCUCGAAGUCUCCUCCUCGCAGUCUCCUGCGGAAGUCUCCCCUGGCCUAUAUCUGGUAUCUUAGGCUAUGUGCGCGUGGAAUUGCAGACAAGCUUCGAUGAUUACAUAUUUCUGUUAAAUAAUUAUAUUAUGUUCAGUUUGUUAUAGUUGAUGUAAUAGAAUUUUGCAUUGUAGGAAAAUCCUUUUUGUAUUUUGCAAACUUCUAUAAAAUUGUGUACUCGUCUUUAAAGAAAAUAUAAUUCUUGUUCACAAAUUAAUGUACUUCUUAGGAAUUUGUUACACCAUUUACCAGUUACAAUAUUUUUCAUAAAAUGUUGCACUGUUUACAUCAUAGUAUAAUAUAAAUUUCGACCAUUUUUGCACUAUUAUGUUCAUGUUAACACCAAUUCUGUGAAAAUUUUGUGAUACAUAACGUACUGUUACACGCUUUAGCGGAGAAUCUUGAACUCUUUUGAUCUGAGUUAUACCACUUAAAGACUUCUUUAAAUAUAAAUUUCAUUUCACCCCACCUUGCGUUGCACUAUUCUAAGCGUUUAAAGUUGCAGAAUUUUUAUACGUUGCAUCCACCUCUCCAACGCACCCUUACAAGCUUAGUACGAGUCUUUUUCUAAACAUUGCACUGGUAUUACUACGGUAUUGCACUCUUACAAGUUUCGUUGCACUCAUUUUUAAAUCCAUUACACUGUUAUUCCCCGUAUUGCACUAUUACAAGCUUUUUUGCACUCUUUUGAAAAAUAUUGUUCUGUAAUUCACACUGCCUUGCACUAUUAUUCGCGCUUAACUGUGAACUUAUUUAACAGUUAAAAGGAAGCGUGAUCUUUUAUAGAAAAACUUUACACAAUCGUUUAGCCGUUAUGUCGCGCCUCUCGAACUCCGAACCCCGCCGGCAACCGUCCAGCCCCGCCGGCGAGCUUCCUGGAAUGCCGACUCUUAUAUCGCACAUCGUCGGCCGCGUAUGCCGCAGCGACAGUCCUGCGCCGCCGAAGCGACCGUCCUGCGCCGCCGAAGCUUCGCCUGCAUUUGGAGUGGACGUCGUUCUUCUGCACUUUUAUGUUCAGAUUAUAUUAAGAAAUAGAAAAGUAAAAUUUUGACUGGUUAAGGAGAGGUUGCCUAGCGAUGCACUGUUAGAAGGGAUGUUGCACUAUUUUUUCUGGUGUUGUUCUUUGCGUUGCACUAUUAUCCCUGUUGCGGGCCGUGCAGAUUUUGUCAUUUAUCGUGAGUAAUUGUAUUAAAGUCUUAAAGCCGAACAGGAAACAGCGGGGCCGGCGAAUAGCGGGGGCGGAUGUGAUCCGGGUUCGGAGAAAUGAGCGAGAUUGCGUAAGGCGGAGGCGGCGCAUUUAAUGCGCGCCAGACCGUACGGCAGGGUAGUAGGGUAGUAUACGUAUGUCAAGAAAUACGCGGGCAGCUAUUGUAUAGGAGGGGCAUUUUGGUCAGGCGGCGGAAAAAACGGACCGAAUCUGCAAAAACGAAAAAGGUGGCCCGGUUUUGCAAAAGCCCAAAAUAAGUGAAUUUUUUAUGCAAAUUGGCCAUAUUUUUUAUAUGUGUUUUGUACAUACAAAUUUUCUUUUAAUGUGUAGCUGAAUUUUAAACUUGAAUUAAUUCAAAUUUUUAAAUUCAUAAAUUUAUAUUUAAAAUUAUGAACAAAAUUCGAAUUUGUAGUUUAUUUUGACAUCAUAAUUUGAAAAUAAUUUGACUUCAUAAUUAGUAUUUAAUUUAUUUUCAAAUUAGUUAAUUAUUUUCAGUUUGAAACAAUUUGUUGAUAUAUCCAAAAUUUAAAAUUUAAAAUUAAUUUUAAAUUUUGACUUAAAAUAUAGAUUCAAGUUUGAAAGUAUAUAUGAACCAAACUUAAAAUUUAAAAUCAAGCUGAUAUGCUUUUUUUCAAAUCAUUCUAUUCUAUAAAAUUAAUUUAUUUUUAAUUAUUUAAUUGAAAGAUAUUGGAUACUGCGAGAAAAAUUUAUACGUUUAUGUGUGUGAAGAAUAUUCUACGGUUGAUGUUCUCCAGAUGGAAAUUUUUUGAUAAGUAUAUAUGAAUUACUUUUUCUCUUUUUGGAAAUGGAAUGCAGUAAUUUUUAAACUAAAAAAGGGUCUAUCAAUACUUAUUUUAGUAAUUAUUUCAAAUCGGCAUAAAUUUAUGCGUCAUAUUUAUAAAAAAGGCUUACAAUAAAAAUUAAUUUUUAGAAAAUAAAAUUCAUCUGUUAUAUUUUAUUCAAAAUUAUUUGUCAUAUUCUAAUUCUAAUUCAAAUUCAAAUAAUAGCCGUUGACAAAAAUUAUAUAGUUCAUUUUUUGUGUAUACAUUGAAUAUUUUAUUAUGCUUUUCGAUUUCUGAUGAAUCCAAAAUUAAAAAUAUUAAAUUAAAAAUAUUAAUUUAAUAUAUGCUUUUCGAUUUCUAAUGAAUUCAAUAUAUGUUUUAAAUUAAAAAUAUUAAAAUCUAUUUGAUAGUUAAUUUAAAAUUUAAAAUUUAAUUUUGAUCUACUUUAUUUAAAAAAUUUUAACUGUUAGUUCAAAUUAAAUAUCUAAAAUUAUAUUUAAUUCACAAUUUAAACUCAAAUUUUAAUUUUAAUUUAAAAACUUAUAUGAUUAAAUUUAAUUAUAUAAUUAAAUUUUAACUAUAAAUUUCAGAUGAAAUAAAUAUUGUAAAUCAAAUAAAAUUAAAAUAUAGAUAGAUAUUUAAAUUUAAAUUUAAAUUUGAUUAUUGAUUGCAAUUAAUAAAUAGUUAAUAUAACAACUGAAUAUUAGUAGUAAAAUUGAAAUAAUUUUUAAAUAUUCACCUUAAAAAAAUAUUGAAUGAUAUAAAACUCUUUUAUAGGAAAAAAUAUAUAUUAUCCAUUAGAGAUAAAGAGGAAUUAAAGAUUUGUUUCAUUAUUUUAUUUUUUUUUAUAAGGUAUUUUAGAUGAAAUGAAAUAGUAUAAUUAGAUAUUAUAUAGGCAACAGGUAUUACAUUACCAUUGAUAUUAUAUAGGCAAAAGAAUUAGAUUUUUUUUUUUUUUUGAGAGAGAUAGGUAGCACGCUACCCGCUUCAUUUAUUUCAUUUAGAAAUAAACUUAGCUAGAAAUGUGAAUCAACUAGGAUUCGAGCUUGGGUCUCGGGUACCAACCACCAAACCCUUUGCCACUUGCUCUAGGGACGAUCGGUGAAUUAGAUAUUAUAUAUGUAUGCAGCAAAAAUGUAACGUGUGAAAUGGAUAUUAUGUACGCGGCAGACGCGUAUGAUAGACUGAGACUUAGUUUAGUAUUGAGAUCCAUAUAACGCUAUUAGAUAAAAUGGAGUUGGAAUAAAAAUAUAUAGGGAUAUGCUUCUUCAUUCUCUGAUGCGACGGCAGAAAAUAUAUCGAAACCGACUUAUCGUGAUACGGCGGAAUGCAAUAUUACGUACAGAAACAAACAAGGUAUUCUUCCAACAUACUUUCUCACCGUACGUAACGCCCGCAAUGCCAAACGAAGUGUGAAAAAGGAUUGACGGAUAUUACAUGUGAGAAAAAAAGAAUAAGUAUUAUAAUGAGUGGCAAAUAUUGUGUAUAAUAAUAAAAUACAAUAUUAAUACGAGGAUAUUAUUGUCACAAAAAAUUAUAAAUACUACUAUUUUCAACC